rnacentral:sRNA from 1 species
AAAAAUUAAAUGCAAAAUUCUUUAAUUCAAUUUUUCCAACUCGUCCACAAUUAGCAUUCGCUUAAUGUCCGGUUUGGCGACAUAAAAUUACUGGGCUCAUUUUAUGUUGUAAUUUGCUCGCUGCUAAUUUUAGCUAAGAGAAUUUUUUCAAUCUCUGUUUGUAAACUUGUAUAAUGUCUUUAGAUGAAUUAAUAUUGGACGUGGGUUCAAUUCCCACCAGCUCCA